UACAGAGGGGGCAAGCGUUGUUCGGAAUUACUGGGCGUAAAGGGCGCGUAGGCGGCCUUCUAAGUCGAACGUGAAAUCCCUGGGCUCAACCCAGGAACUGCGUCCGAUACUGGAAGGCUUGAAUCCGGGAGAGGGAUGCGGAAUUCCAGGUGUAGCGGUGAAAUGCGUAGAUAUCUGGAGGAACGCCGGUGGCGAAGGCGGCAUCCUGGACCGGUAUUGACGCUGAGGCGCGAAAGCCAGGGGAGCAAACGGG
rnacentral:rRNA from 1 species